rnacentral:lncRNA from 13 species
UGUUCCAGGGGGAAUGGCAUUUAGUCUCGUCUUAGGGGGCUCCAGGAAUAGAAACCCCCACUCAUUUAGCCAGCCACUCCACUAAUAUUUAUGGACCCAGACCCUCUGUUAUGCCCUGUGGAGAUAAUGGUAACCGAGAAAGAUGUAAUCUCUGCCCUAAUAAGAUCGUGGCCUACUGCGUCUCAUUCCAGUAGGUUUUCCCCAGUGUUUUGUUACCUGUCAGUUGUCAAGGAGAUCUUCCUUCCACUAAUCACAAUCCCUCUGGCUUUGGUUUAAACUCAUCAUAUCGUUGUUUCCCCAUUCAAGGUGGCUCUUAUCUCACCUUUAAAAUGCCUUCUACUUCCCUGGCCUUACAUGUUUCUUAGCUUUUCCUUUUUUCAUACAAGAAUCAUUUUCUUGGACAACUUUAGGUUGAAUCAGACUGAUAGUAAAGAGGCCAAGGUCAGAAGGCCAUUCACGCCAUUGCUUCAUUGGCAUCACUUGGUGACCAGAUGGUGCCUGCUCCUAAUCUUUUCCAUCCUCCAGGCCCAAACCUAGAGAGUGGGCGAGACUGCCCAGCUCUGGUUAGAAGCAUCAUUUUACUUUAUGAGGUCCUGCUAUGCUUCGUAUCCCUCUGCAAAAAGUAAUUGUGCUUCCUAUGUAAAGAUAGGAAAACAGAAGCAUAAAGCUGGGAAACGACUGGACCAAGGUCAUACUACUCACUGCAGCUGCAAUCCUGCCACUGAAAUAAAAGCGAGAGAUAGACACAUGCAAACACACAGACAGGAAGAGCGAGUGGCAGGAAGCUCUGCUUGUUCUAUCUUUAAAAUGCGUCCUGACUCUUCCAGAAGAAACUGACUCCUUCUCACCACCACCCCCACUACUACCCUGCUCCGAACCUCCAUCAUCGCUUACCUGGAUCAUCUGUAAUGACCUCUUCAUGGGGCUUCCAGCUUCCACCAUAACACCCCUCAGACUGUGCACCAUGUACUGGCCAGAGGGAUCUACUUGAAACGCAAGUCCGACCAUGGCACUCCUCUGCUCAAAACCAUCCCAUGUUGGUUUGUCAGAUAAAAUACAGGAUGCCCAGUGAAAUUUGAAGUUCAGAUAAACAGUAAAUAAUUUUUAUUAUAAGCAUAUCCCGUGACAUUGAGG